AGAGUUUGAUCCUGGCUCAGGACGAACGCUGGCGGCGUGCUUAACACAUGCAAGUCGAACGAGGUGCUUGCACCUAGUGGCGAACGGGUGAGUAACACGUGAGCAACCUGCCCUUGGCUCUGGGAUAGCCUCCGGAAACGGGGAUUAAUACCGGACAUGACCUUCUUAGGCAUCUUUGAAGGUGGAAAGUUUUUCGGCCA
rnacentral:rRNA from 1 species